rnacentral:rRNA from 1 species
GACGAACGCUGGCGGCGUGCUUAACACAUGCAAGUCGAACGGAAAGGCCCUGCUUGCGGGGUACUCGAGUGGCGAACGGGUGAGUAACACGUGGGUGUUCUGCCCUGCACUUCGGGAUAAGCCUGGGGAACUCGGUCUAAUACCGGGUAUGAGCCAUUCUUAGGGUGGUGGUUGGAAAGUUUUUUGGGUGUGGGAUGGGCUCGCGGCCUAUCAGCUUGUUGGUGGGGGAAUGGCCUACCAAGGCGGCGACGGGUAGCCGGCCUGAGAGGGUGGACGGCCAAAUUGGGACUGGGAUACGGCCCAGACUCCCACGGGGGGCAUGAGGGGGGAAUAUUGCAAAAUGGGCGGAAGCCUGAUGCAGCGACGCCGCGGGGGGGAUGACGGCCUUCGGGUUGUAAACUCCCUUCGCUAGGGACGAAGCUUUUUGUGACGGUAACGAGAUAAGAAGCACCGGCUAACUACGUG